rnacentral:rRNA from 1 species
UACGUAGGGGGGCAAGCGUUGUCCGGAAUUAUUGGGCGUAAAGCGCGUGUAGGCGGCUCGGCAAGUCGGAUGUGAAAGCCCUGGGCUCAACCUAGGAAGUGCAUUCGAAACUGCAGAGCUUGAGUUCUGGAGAGGAAGGCGGAAUUCUCGGUGUAGAGGUGAAAUUCGUAGAUAUCGAGAGGAACACCUGUGGCGAAGGCGGCCUUCUGGACAGUGACUGACGCUGAGACGCGAAAGCGUGGGGAGCGAACAGG